rnacentral:lncRNA from 1 species
AUAGUCUCCGCUGAGUUCGCAGUAAGAACAUAUUCUCAACAUGAAGCUGAUCUCGAUGGCUCUGGCCCUGGUGGUGGCCCUGGCAUGCCUGGUGAGCUGGACCAGCGCCAUGCCUGAGCCUGACCCCGUGGCUGACCCUGAUCCUGGCUACCGACGUUAUGGUGGGUAUGGUGGAUAUGGUGGAUACGGCUACGGAGGUGGAUAUGGAGGAUACGGGGGCUACGGAUACGGAGGAUACCACCGAAGCUAUUACGGAUAAAGAUAUCCUACUUACCACUCUUCACGAAAACAUCCGAAGCAACACUACAAAAUCUUCACUUCCUGUUUUUCUUCUCAAAUAAACUUCAUGAAUCAA